AACGAACGCUGGCGGCAUGCCUAACACAUGCAAGACGAACGAAACCUUCGGGUCUUGUGGCGCACGGGUGCGUAACGCGUGGGAACCUGCCCUUAGGUUCGGAAUAACUCCCCGAAAGGGGUGCUAAUACCGGAUAAUGUCUUCGGACCAAAGAUUUAUCGCCUUUGGAUGGGCCCGCGUUGGAUUAGCUAGUUGGUAGGGUAAAAGCCUACCAAGGCGACGAUCCAUAGCUGGUCUGAGAGGAUGAUCAGCCACACUGGGACUGAGACACGGCCCAGACUCCUACGGGAGGCAGCAGUAGGGAAUAUUGGACAAUGGGCGAAAGCCUGAUCCAGCAAUGCCGCGUGAGUGAUGAAGGCCUUAGGGUUGUAAAGCUCUUUUACCCGGGAUGAUAAUGACAGUACCGGGAGAAUAAGCUCCGGCUAACUCCGUG
rnacentral:rRNA from 1 species